rnacentral:rRNA from 1 species
UACAGAGGGGGCAAGCGUUGUUCGGAAUUACUGGGCGUAAAGGGCGCGUAGGCGGCCUGCUAAGUCGAACGUGAAAUCCCCGGGCUCAACCCGGGAACUGCGUCCGAUACUGGCAGGCUUGAAUCCGGGAGAGGGAUGUGGAAUUCCAGGUGUAGCGGUGAAAUGCGUAGAUAUCUGGAGGAACACCGGUGGCGAAGGCGACUACCUGGCCUGUUCUUGACGCUGAGGCGCGAAAGCUAGGGGAGCAAACGGG